CAAAAUAAUAAUAAUAAUAAUAAUAAUUUAAAUAAAUAAAACACUGGUAUAGCUUGUUUACAAGAAAUUUAUUGCUGAGCAGAACAUUCAUAAAAGAGUUAGUUGCUUCAUUAGAUAAGUUGAUAAUGAACCUUAGCCCAAUGGCUACUCUUUUUCCUGAUACUUUCAUCCAGGACAUGUCUGGCUACAUAUUUACCAAAUCAUUCAUUGACAAUAUGUAUACCCAGAUCUCAAUUGCCUGCUCCCCUAAAAUGAUGUCACCAAAGGUGUAGACUAGGAACAUGUGAUUGAUUAUGCAAUGAUAGUUAUUAUUUUGACCUUGAUUAUCUUGGAUCCAUCAAGACGGUAUCUGAUGCGCUUCCCAACUAUCUCAGCAGGUAGAACAAUAUCUUCCAGCAUUGCCUCAUGCACAGAAGUGAGUGUGCGGCUACGGGGCCGUUGAACAGCAGAACCUUUCUUUGGGGGCCUCACUAUCCUCCGAGUGGCAAUGAAGAUCACAUCCUGCCAGACAAUUUUAGGGUGAGCUUAGAAAAACAAGGAUGCCACAACCAGGAAGUAUAAUCCAAUAUUUUUACCACCAUCUCUGACACUUUGAAUCAGCAUGACAGAGACAACUGGAUUGAACCAAGCUACCAGCUCAUAAAAGUCAGAUCAAGCAAAGGCUCCAUAGCAUUAUCUAGUAGAGUGCAUCAUUUGGUAUAAAUUUGUUUCAGUCUCACGCAGCGCAUUACCAAAUUCCAGCUUCUUGUUUACCUUGGAAUCAGAAUUAAAUUGCAAUUAAACCAAAGGAAAGUAGUGGUUAUAUUACCUUCCCACUGAACUUCUUCUCAAGCUCUCUCACAAGCCUAACAUGAAUCUUGCGGAAAG
rnacentral:lncRNA from 1 species